UACGGAGGGUGCAAGCGUUAUCCGGAUUCACUGGGUUUAAAGGGUGCGUAGGAGGGCAGGGAAGUCAGUGGUGAAAUCUCCGGGCUUAACUCGGAAACUGCCGUUGAUACUCUCUGUCUUGAAUCCCGUGGAGGUGAGCGGAAUAUGUCAUGUAGCGGUGAAAUGCUUAGAUAUGACAUAGAACACCGAUUGCGAAGGCAGCUCGCUACACGAAGAUUGACUCUGAGGCACGAAAGCGUGGGGAUCAAACAGG
rnacentral:rRNA from 1 species